rnacentral:rRNA from 1 species
CCAAAUGGGCCAGUGCAAAUCCUACUUGGAUAACUGUGGUAAUUCCAGAGCUAAUACAUGCAACUGAUAUCCCGAAGGCGGUGUUUGUGCUUGCUUGUCUUGCGCUUGCGUUGCUCUGACGGAUGCUUUUAUUAGACCAAGCCGCUGAGGACUUGAGGGUUCGCGCUCUCUUGUCUGACUCGUGUGAUGGUGACUCUGGAUAACCAAAUUCUGACAAGCGCACGUACUUCUCUUCUGAGCGAGACGGCGCUGCCACUUUCGAGUGUCUGCCUUAUCAGCUAUCAACCGUUCGUUAUGCGCGACCGAUGGCUUUGACGGGUAACGGGGAAUCAGGGUUCGAUUCCGGAGAGGCAGCCUGAGAGACGGCUACCACGUCCAAGGACGGCAGCAGGCACGCAAAUUACCCAAUCCCAGCAAAUGGGGGAGGUAGUGACGAAAUCUAACGAUGCGGGCGCCCUUUCUGGGGCCCCGCAAUCGGAAUGGGCACUUUCUAAACAACCUGUUGAGAACCUACUGAAGG